rnacentral:tRNA from 1 species
GCCUUCGUGGUGUACUGGUCGGCACGCUUGACUCGCAACCGAGUCGUCCUUGGUUCGAUUCCCGGCGAAGGCA